AGUGGAAGGUGGGGAGAGAUGCUCAGUGGAAGGUGAGGAGAGAUGAUCAGUGGAAGGUGAGGAGAGAUGCUCUCAGUGGAAGGUGAGGAUAAAUGUUCUCAGUGGAAGGUGAGGAGAAAUGUUC